rnacentral:rRNA from 1 species
CCUACGUGAUUCAGCAGUGAUUACUAUUGGUCAAUUGACGAGAUUCUUAACCAGCCAAGUCGCGUGAAGGAUGACUGCCCUAUGGGUUGUAAACUUCUUUUAUAAAGGAAUAAAACGAGGCACGUGUGCCUUUUUGCAUGUACUUUAUGAAUAAGGAUCGGCUAACUCCGUGCCAGCAGCCGCGGUAAUACGGAGGAUGCGAGCGUUAUCCGGAUUUAUGGGGUUUAAAGGGUGCGCAGGCGGAAGAUCAAGGCAGCGGUAAAAUUGAGAGGCUCAACCUCUUCGAGCCGUUGAAACUGGUUGUCUUGAGUGAGCGAGAAGUAUGCGGAAUGCGUGGUGUAGCGGUGAAAUGCAUAGAUAUCACGCAGAACUCCGAUUGCGAAGGCAGCAUACCGGCGCUCAACUGACGCUCAUGCACGAAAGUGUGGGUAUCGAACAGGAUUAGAUACCCGAGUAGGC